UUUAAGCUGUAGGAACCCUGCAGCUGACAUAUUUCACCUUCAAAAGUAAAGUAAAGUCUAAACAUUGAAGUCUUUUCUUUGACUUUGACCAGUUAUACAAAUCAUCAACAUCAUGAAAGAAGUGAGAGAGCUGGAUGUUAAUGAGGAGACAACAUCAACAAGUCAAGCCACCACUCUUCAGCUGCUGCUUCAAGACAAAGAAAGUGAAUUUGCCAAAGCUCAGGAUGAAAUAACGGAGCUGCAGAGAAAACUGCAGAGAAAGACUAACGAAUGCUCUAGUUUGGAG
rnacentral:lncRNA from 1 species